UGCUACUUGUGACAGGACCUCUUGC
rnacentral:piRNA from 1 species